UACGAGGGGGGCAAAUGUUGUUCGGAAUCACUGGGCGUAAAGGGAGCGUAGGCGGGUGUUUAAGUUAGGUGUUUAAUCCUGGGGCCCAACCCCAGUCGUGCACCUAAAACUGGACAUCUUGAAUAGGGGAGAGGUCAGUGGAAUUGGAGGUGUAGCGGUGGAAUGCGUAGAGAUCUCCAAGAACACCAGUUGCGAAGGCGGCUGACUGGACCCAUAUUGACGCUGAGGCUCGAAAGCAUGGGGAGCAAACAGG
rnacentral:rRNA from 1 species